rnacentral:rRNA from 1 species
UACGGAGGGAGCUAGCGUUGUUCGGAAUUACUGGGCGUAAAGCGCGCGUAGGCGGCUACUCAAGUCAGAGGUGAAAGCCCAGGGCUCAACCUUGGAACUGCCUUUGAAACUAGGUAGCUAGAAUUCUGGAGAGGUCAGUGGAAUUCCGAGUGUAGAGGUGAAAUUCGUAGAUAUUCGGAAGAACACCAGUGGCGGAAGGCGACUGACUGGACAGAUAUUGACGCUGAGGAGCGAAAGCGUGGGGAGCGAACAGG